CUAACUGACUGAAGAGAUGCGGACAAGAAGAGGAUUGUCUCAAAAAUUGGUAAACGAGAACAUACGAGACAGAAAUUCAAAGACCAACAAGGCAGAAAACAGCAGCAUCCAUCUUGUUGUCAGGACAAAGUCAACUGCAACUAGCUAUUGUGAAUCACAUUCGCAUUUGAGACACGGCCUGACUGAAGAGUAAAGUCAUGAACCUUGACGAGACAGCUCCU